GAAUAUUGGACAAUGGGGGAAACCCUGAUCCAGCAAUGCCGCGUGUGUGAAGAAGGCCUGCGGGUUGUAAAGCACUUUCAGUAGGGAAGAUAGUGACGGUACCUACAGAAGAAGCAACGGCUAACUCCGUGCCAGCAGCCGCGGUAAUACGGAGGGUGCGAGCGUUAAUCGGAAUUACUGGGCGUAAAGCGGGCGUAGGCGGCUUGUUAAGUCGGAUGUGAAAGCCCCGGGCUUAACCUGGGAAUUGCAUUCGAUACUGGCUGGCUAGAGUGUGGUAGAGGGUAGCGGAAUUCCCGGUGUAGCGGUGAAAUGCGUAGAUAUCGGGAAGAACACCAGUGGCGAAGGCGGCUACCUGGACCAACACUGACGCUGAGGUCCGAAAGCGUGGGGAGCAAACAGG
rnacentral:rRNA from 1 species